UGGGGAAUAUUGGACAAUGGGCGCAAGCCUGAUCCAGCCAUGCCGCGUGUGUGAAGAAGGCCUUUUGGUUGUAAAGCACUUUAAGCGAGGAGGAGGCUACUUGGAUUAAUACUCUAGGAUAGUGGACGUUACUCGCAGAAUAAGCACCGGCUAACUCUGUGCCAGCAGCCGCGGUAAUACAGAGGGUGCGAGCGUUAAUCGGAUUUACUGGGCGUAAAGCGUGCGUAGGCGGCUUCUUAAGUCGGAUGUGAAAUCCCUGAGCUUAACUUAGGAAUUGCAUUCGAUACUGGGAAGCUAGAGUAUGGGAGAGGAUGGUAGAAUUCCAGGUGUAGCGGUGAAAUGCGUAGAGAUCUGGAGAAAUACCGAUGGCGAAGGCAGCCAUCUGGCCUAAUACUGACGCUGAGGUACGAAAGCAUGGGGAGCAAACAGG
rnacentral:rRNA from 1 species